AGGAAGUGGUGUAGAGGAAGCACUAAGA
rnacentral:tRNA from 2 species